GACUGACAAUAAAUCUCUCAUUAUCACGUGACAAUCGUGGCUUUUCAAGCCUGAUAGCUUUCGACUUUUAACAUCAACACAACUUGAUAAAUUAGAAGCAUAACCGUCUGGGAGUUUUACAUUUUUUAAGACACUUAAAAAAAUGUCCUUCCCAUCAUUGUUCAGAGUAAAACAUGCUGCUUUAUACUUCUCAUUAUCAUCAGGCCACAAGUCAGCACGUAUACCUAGCUCACGGAGAUCUUUUCUAACACUCAGAUUAUCUUUUGAUUUUUUUUUAUCAUCCAAAAAUGUGUAGACUAGAUUGUCAAACACAUUCUUCUCUAUGUGCAUGACAUCCAAAUUAUGCCGCAACAUAAUAAAUUCCCAGUAAGACAACUCAAAAAAUAUACUUCUUUUCUUCCACUGCUGAGUGGUACUUGAAGUUCCACUUC
rnacentral:lncRNA from 1 species